rnacentral:rRNA from 1 species
AUUGAACGCUGGCGGCAGGCCUAACACAUGCAAGUCGAACGGUAACAGGGAUCAGCUUGCUGAUUCGCUGACGAGUGGCGGACGCGUGAGUAAUGUCUGGGAAACUGCCUGAUGGAGGGGGAUAACUACUGGAAACGGUAGCUAAUACCGCAUAACGUCGCAAGACCAAAGAGGGGGACCUUCGGGCCUCUUGCCAUCGGAUGUGCCCAGAUGGGAUUAGCUAGUAGGUGGGGUAACGGCUCACCUAGGCGACGAUCCCUAGCUGGUCUGAGAGGAUGACCAGCCACACUGGAACUGAGACACGGUCCAGACUCCUACGGGAGGCAGCAGUGGGGAAUAUUGCACAAUGGGCGCAAGCCUGAUGCAGCCAUGCCGCGUGUAUGAAGAAGGCCUUCGGGUUGUAAAGUACUUUCAGCGGGGAGGAAGGGAGUAAAGUUAAUACCUUUGCUCAUUGACGUUACCCGCAGAAGAAGCACCGGCUAACUCCGUG